GACGAACGCUGGCGGCGUGCUUAACACAUGCAAGUCGAACGGAAAGGCCCUGCCUUUGUGGGGUGCCCGAGUGGCGAACGGGUGAGUAACACGUGAGUAACCUGCCCUUGACUUUGGGAUAACUUCAGGAAACUGGGGCUAAUACCGGAUAGGAGCUCCUGCUGCAUGGUGGGGGUUGGAAAGUUUCGGCGGUUGGGGAUGGACUCGCGGCUUAUCAGCUUGUUGGUGGGGUAGUGGCUUACCAAGGCUUUGACGGGUAGCCGGCCUGAGAGGGUGACCGGCCACAUUGGGACUGAGAUACGGCCCAGACUCCUACGGGAGGCAGCAGUGGGGAAUAUUGCACAAUGGGCGGAAGCCUGAUGCAGCAACGCCGCGUGCGGGAUGACGGCCUUCGGGUUGUAAACCGCUUUCGCCUGUGACGAAGCGUGAGUGACGGUAAUGGGUAAAGAAGCACCGGCUAACUACGUG
rnacentral:rRNA from 1 species